rnacentral:lncRNA from 1 species
CUUCCUGUGGCUUUGUGGUGACAGUGAGAGGCCCCAUCCAGUUUGCUGUGCACCCGUGUGAGGGUGACCUUGGCAGGUGGCUACUGAGGAGGAGAGAUUGGUAGUGGCUACAAGUUCAUGUGCACCAUUAGGUGAGAGGUCUCCUUUUAAAAAAAUAUUAACUAUUAAUGUCUUUUGUUAAGCGUGUGGGUGUUUUUCCUGCAUGGUGUGUUUGUACCACAUGCAUUCAGUGCCUAGAAGCCAGAAGAGGAUGUCAGAUCCUCUGGAACUUGGAAUAAGCUGGCAUUUGGGUGUUGAGAAUCGAACCUGGGUCCUCUGAAAGAGGAGCCAGUUCUCUUAAGUGCUGAGCAGUUUCUGUAGCCCCUUUGAUUGUUUCCUUGAGACUGGGUCUCACUGGUAGUCAUGGAACUUUCUGUGUAGAGCAGACUCAGAAUUCUACCUGCCCCUGCCUCUAGAGUACUGAAAUUAAAGGUUUACACCAUUUCA